AGCAACUCUUACAAUCCAUGCUCAAAGUCCCUCCUAUUUAAAGCCGGUGGCGAAGUGGAAGCGUUACUCUGCAGGAGACAAGCACUGGGCCUAGACCUUUCCUUGGAAGUAUCAUUGACGAGCAACAGCCACAAUGACGGACAACACAUGUAAACAGACAGAAGAAAAGAAGAAAUGGCUCGAAACGAAUACAUUUGAUAAGCUGACUGAAGAGGGUCAAAGGGAAUUUUUCAGUCAUCUAAAUAAUGGUAAAGAAGUAAAUGAAGAUAUCUGUGACAUGGACCCCAAAAAUCUUACACAGGAUUCAAAGAAGUAUCAGUUUUGGCUUCAGUGUGAACGAGGAGUUUUUUCAAAGUACUUCAAGGUCAUCAAAAAAAUAACUGAUGUUGACUAUGGCUUCCUGGAAAUUAAGUAUUUUGAUUCCUUUAAAACCGCUGAGAAUAAACAGAAAUAUUUAUCAGACAUGCAGGCUAAUACAAAGGAAACAGAGACAUUAAUUAAAAAAUUGCAGGAGGAGAUCAAAGACCAAUUAGACACAUGUUUUGGUAAAUUUAGAACAAAAUUGGAAGAAGAACUUGCUAGAUAAAUUUAGCUGAAAAUGAAGUCAAAGUCAAAUUUUCUCCACUGAUUCCCAUAGUUAUAAUAAUUAAUACUUCAAUGUAUCAAGACAGAGCUUCAUCUGAUUAGUAUUAAAGAGCUCCUUUAAAUUUUGUUAUUAUGUACUCGUAAGUACAUUAAUUACAGGAAGUGUUGUAUCAUGUGCACUGAUGGAUAGUUUUAAGAUUUCCACUCUUUAGUACUGAAAUAAACAUACUUUCUCUUUA